GGUGUAACAUCAUAAAUAGAAAAAAAACUCUAUAGGUUUAAAGAUUUUUAUGAGCCGUUUAUUUGUCUUUUUAUGUUGACAUAUGCAUUUAAUUAUAUAAUGGGUUAAAGGGUAGCUUUGGUGUCAAAAGCAUGCAAGGCAAAUGUCUCAAAAGUCAAUUUCAUAAUUUGUUUUGUGUUUAAAUGUCUUUUUAUCUUUACCGUCUCAGCUUUAAAGUGUGGACGUAAAGUUUAUAACAUUUAGGCGUACUUUUAAUAUGCCGAAAGAUGUCUGAGAAUUGCAAUUUUGACAGCUUUUGGCAGAUUCAGACUGACUUACUAAACCAACACGGAUACUAUAUCGAAAUUCG
rnacentral:lncRNA from 1 species